rnacentral:rRNA from 1 species
CCUACGGGUGGCAGCAGUCGGGAAUUUUGGGCAAUGGGCGAAAGCCUGACCCAGCAACGCCGCGUGAAGGAUGAAAUCCCUCGGGAUGUAAACUUCGCAAGAACGGGAAGAAUAAGCCUGUGCCAACACCACAGGCGAUGACGGUACCGUUUGUAAGCUCCGGCUAACUCCGUGCCAGCAGCCGCGGUAAUACGGGGGGAGCAAGCGUUGUUCGGAUUUACUGGGCGUAAAGGGCGCGUAGGCGGCCAUCGCAAGUCAGUUGUGAAAUCUCCGGGCUUAACUCGGAAAGGUCAACUGAUACUGCGAGGCUAGAGUGCAGAAGGGGCAACUGGAAUUCUCGGUGUAGCGGUGAAAUGCGUAGAUAUCGAGAGGAACACCGGUGGCGAAGGCGGGUUGCUGGGCUGACACUGACGCUGAGGCGCGAAAGCUAGGGGAGCGAA